rnacentral:rRNA from 1 species
UACAGAGGGUGCGAGCGUUGUUCGGAAUUAUUGGGCGUAAAGGGCGCGUAGGCGGCUCAUGAAGGCUGUGGUGAAAGUCCGGGGCUCAACCUCGGAUCGGCCGUGGCGACUCGUGGGCUGGAGCACUGUAGAGGCGGGUGGAAUUCCGGGUGUAGCGGUGGAAUGCGUAGAGAUCCGGAAGAACACCAGUGGCGAAGGCGGUUCUCUGGGCAUUACCUGACGCUGAGGAGCGAAAGCAUGGGGAGCGAACAGG